CUUCUUCAUCACCUGGAAGUUUCCACCUCACCCAGUCACCACCUUCGCCAUCUCCAUUUUUCCUCCUCUACUUCCUGGUGCCGGCGAUUCACAUCGCCACCUUUCAAAAAUCGCCGGCAAUUCACCCUCACCAUCGUUAUCCAAACACAUUAAUAUGAACCUGGAUUGUUCUUUCAUUUUAACCUAAUUUUGUUUUUUUCAAACAGGACCAAGGUUCAGUAACAUUACAGGAUACAGCAGCUCCAUUGAGAGAUCGAAAGAUUAACUCUUCGAAUAUUUCUGCUUCAUUUUCGUCUUCACCUUCUCUUCUUCUACCUUCACUGUUACAGGUAACUAAUUUAUGUGAUAUGGAGAUUGAUGACAUGAUAUGCUUAGUAGGAUUGGCUCAGCAUGGGACACAUCGGCAAUUGGUGCAAACAAUGGCAAAGUUCAAUGACCCCGGUGCUACAUUGUGAACUGAUUUAUAUUUUAUUUUAGACAAGAUUAUCAGAAGGAAUUAGCUAAAACAACUCUUUGAUUGGUGCAGAGUGUGUACUAUAAGACUGAUGUUUGGUUAAUUUGUAAGAUACAGAUGACGAGAAAAUCUAAUGGUACAAAGUCUCUCUAUGAACCAGUCGGGUACGUCUUGAUUAUAUGGUGUUCAGCUGUAUAAUUCAACCUGACCCUCGGUUGCGAAAUAAUCAAGUUCGAUCACUCAAUACCCCCAUUUUUCAUCUCAUUCAACAAGAAAAAUAAAAAAAAAGGGGAAAGAAAGAGGAAGUGGCCUACUCCAGAGGGUUCCAAUUUUGCAGUUAGAUCAGAGUAUGUUUCACUCUCUCAAUGUGAUAAAUGGGUUCGAGCCAAUCAGAUCUUUAGAUUUUUCAGCUCACAAUGAGCUUAUCUCAGUUAUGAAGAUGGAGGAUGAGCUGCUGCAGACCUUUGGCUGUUGAAGAACAAUAUGAGUCUAUUCUUGCAGUUGUUACCGUUGGUUGAAACCUGCGCCCAAUAACUGUUCAAUAACGAAGAUUUCAAUAACGAAGAUUGCAGGAACAUCAAGUUCUUUUACUCGCUAUUUUGCUUUGCGGCCUAAUGGUCCUUGUUAAUGAUGUGCCACCUAAAGUUAAUCAGUGCCUAAUAUAAACUAAUCUUUUUUGCUGAUAAGCGUGAUUUAAUCCUUGUAAUAGAUAUAACAAAUUAGACAAAGCACAAAACCUUGGGGCAAAUUUUGUAACAAUCAAACGGUUUUCAACCAACGCAUAUAUGAAAUAUAAUCUAAUUGCCUUAUUAUCUU